rnacentral:rRNA from 1 species
AACGAACGCUGGCGGCAUGCUUAACACGUGCAAGUCGAACGAGACCUUCGGGUCUAGUGGCGCACGGGUGCGUAACGCGUGGGAAUCUGCCCUUAGGUACGGAAUAACUCAGAGAAAUUUGUGCUAAUACCGUAUGAUGUCGAAAGACCAAAGAUUUAUCGCCUAAGGAUGAGCCCGCGUAAGAUUAGCUUGUUGGUGAGGUAAAAGCUCACCAAGGCGACGAUCUUUAGCUGGUCUGAGAGGAUGAUCAGCCACACUGGGACUGAGACACGGCCCAGACUCCUACGGGAGGCAGCAGUGGGGAAUAUUGGACAAUGGGCGAAAGCCUGAUCCAGCAAUGCCGCGUGAGUGAUGAAGGCCUUAGGGUUGUAAAGCUCUUUUACCCGGGAUGAUAAUGACAGUACCGGGAGAAUAAGCUCCGGCUAACUCCGUGCCAGCCGCCGCGGUAA